rnacentral:rRNA from 1 species
CCUACGGGGGGCAGCAGUGGGGAAUAUUGCGCAAUGGGCGAAAGCCUGACGCAGCGACGCCGCGUGAGGGAUGAAGGUCUUCGGAUCGUAAACCUCUGUCAGCAGGGAAGAACGGUCACUGUGCUAAUCAGCAGUGAAUUGACGGUACCUGCAAAGGAAGCACCGGCUAACUCCGUGCCAGCAGCCGCGGUAAUACGGAGGGUGCGAGCGUUAAUCGGAAUUACUGGGCGUAAAGCGCUCGUAGGCGGUAUGUCAAGUCAAGGGUGAAAUCCCCGCGCUCAACGUGGGAACUGCAUUGGAAACUGGCAAACUGGAGUGUGUGAGAGGAUAGUGGAAUUCCAGGUGUAGGGGUGAAAUGCGUAGAUAUCUGGAGGAACAUCAGUGGCGAAGGCGACUAUCUGGCACAUAACUGACGCUGAGGAGCGAAAGCGUGGGUAGCAAACAGGAUUAGAUACCCUUGUAGUC